rnacentral:rRNA from 1 species
UACAGAGGGGGCGAGCGUUGUUCGGAAUUACUGGGCGUAAAGGGCGCGUAGGCGGCCUUCUAAGUCGAACGUGAAAUCCCCGGGCUCAACCCGGGAACUGCGUCCGAUACUGGGAGGCUUGAAUCCGGGAGAGGGAUGUGGAAUUCCAGGUGUAGCGGUGAAAUUCGUAGAUAUUGGGAAGAACACCGGUGGCGAAGGCGGCGACCUGGUCCGAUACUGACGCUGAGGCGCGAAAGCGUGGGGAGCAAACAGG